rnacentral:rRNA from 1 species
GUGAUUCUUCAGCUGAUACAUGCCUCGAUGCCCUGAUCCGCAAGGUGAGGGGUGCAGUUAUUAGAUCUCAAACCAAUUGGGUUCGGUCGUGGUUUGGGAUGACUCUGGAUAACUUUGUAUGAUCGCAGCUGGCCUUGUUGCCGGCGAUGGAUCCAUCAAAUAUCUGCCCUAUCGACUUCCGAUGGUAGGUGAUAUGCCUACCAUGGUUAUGACCGGUAACCGGGAAUCAGGGAGCGAUUCCGGAGAGGGAGCCUGAGAAACAGCUACCACAUCCAAGGAAGGCUCCAGGCACGCAAAUUACCCACUCUCUGAACGAGGAGGUACUGAAGAAGGAUAUCGAUACAAAACUCAUAUGAGGCUCUGUAAUCGAAAUGAGUGCAUUUUAAAUCCUACUUCAAGGAUCUUUUGGAGGGCAAGUCUGGAGCCAGCAGCCGCGGUAACUCCAGCUCCAAUAGCAUAUAUUAAAGUUGCUGCAGUUAAAAAGCUCGUAGUUGGAUCUGGGUUGCGCUCUGAUUGCUAGUAUUGUGAGUGUGUUCUUCGGUACGUUCUUCCACACUGGUAUAUUCGAGUGCUGCUUCACGGCUGUGUCUGAAUGCCUUAACGGGUGUUUGGAUACUGUUGGAUGUCUGAGGUGACUCCUUCACGGGGGUUGUUUCGGCUCA